GGGGGCCUACCAUGCAGUCGAGCGGAAACGAGUUAUCUGAACCUUCGGGGAACGAUAACGGCGUCGAGCGGCGGACGGGUGAGUAAUGCCUAGGAAAUUGCCCUGAUGUGGGGGAUAACCAUUGGAAACGAUGGCUAAUACCGCAUAAUACCUACGGGUCAAAGAGGGGGACCUUCGGGCCUCUCGCGUCAGGAUAUGCCUAGGUGGGAUUAGCUAGUUGGUGAGGUAAUGGCUCACCAAGGCGACGAUCCCUAGCUGGUCUGAGAGGAUGAUCAGCCACACUGGAACUGAGACACGGUCCAGACUCCUACGGGAGGCAGCAGUGGGGAAUAUUGCACAAUGGGCGCAAGCCUGAUGCAGCCAUGCCGCGUGUGUGAAGAAGGCCUUCGGGUUGUAAAGCACUUUCAGUCGUGAGGAAGGUAGUGUAGUUAAUAGCUGCAUUAUUUGACGUUAGCGACAGAAGAAGCACCGGCUAACUCCGUGCCAGCAGCCGCGGUAAUACGGAGGGUGCGAGCGUUAAUCGGAAUUACUGGGCGUAAAGCGCAUGCAGGUGGUUUGUUAAGUCAGAUGUGAAAGCCCGGGGCUCAACCUCGGAAUAGCAUUUGAAACUGGCAGACUAGAGUACUGUAGAGGGGGGUAGAAUUUCAGGUGUAGCGGUGAAAUGCGUAGAGAUCUGAAGGAAUACCGGUGGCGAAGGCGGCCCCCUGGACAGAUACUGACACUCAGAUGCGAAAGCGUGGGGAGCAAACAGGAUUAGAUACCCGGGUAGUCAAA
rnacentral:rRNA from 1 species